rnacentral:rRNA from 1 species
CGAACGCUGGCGGUGUGCUUAACACAUGCAAGUCGAGCGGUGAACCACCUUCGGGUGGGGAUCAGCGGCGAACGGGUGAGUAACACGUGGGCAACCUGCCCCAAGCACCGGGAUAACAGUGGGAAACCGCUGCUAAUACCGGAUAUGACGUCUGACCGCAUGGUCUGGACGUGGAAAGGAUUCUGGCUUGGGAUGGGCCCGCGGCCUAUCAGCUAGUUGGUGGGGUAAUGGCCUACCAAGGCGACGACGGGUAGCCGGCCUGAGAGGGCGACCGGCCACACUGGGACUGAGACACGGCCCAGACUCCUACGGGAGGCAGCAGUGGGGAAUAUUGCGCAAUGGGCGAAAGCCUGACGCAGCAACACCGCGUGAGGGACGACGGCCUUCGGGUUGUAAACCUCUUUCAGCUCCGACGAAGCGAAAGUGACGGUAGGAGCAGAAGAAGCACCGGCUAACUAC